CGGCGAAUAGUCGUAAAUGGA
rnacentral:siRNA from 1 species